AGUCGGCGAUGAUCACUACAUUACAGUUUCAAUUAGCCAGUUCUGCUUCAGGUAAUUGAUGAUCGAUGAAGCUGUUCAAAUCUGAGUCCUUU